GUCUAAUGUAUUUGAGUAUUAAUGUGCUUAUAUAUAGGGACCUGUCUAAUGUAUGAGAGUAUUACUAUAUAGGGACCUGUCUAAUGUAU